CAUCCGUUAUUUUCCUUCUUCUUUUCUCGAUGACAUACGUAAGUUUAGUUUGACAGGUAUACAAUAAAAAGAUUUAAACAUUUUGUUAUUUAUACGGGAAAUUAGACCCGAUCAAAAUAAUUAUUAAAAGCAAAUUUUUCUAUUACCAUCUAAAUUACUAAAUUACAUCCAACAUUUUACAUCGGCCAAACCAAACUGUAAUUUACAGUUUGGAGAACUGGAAAGCUACCUACUAGAAAUUGAUAGGUACAUCCUUUUUUCACAGUACAUAUUCCAAAGGUUUUCAACCUCGGGGUUAAAAUAAAAUCAUCCUUUCGAUGCCUCAUUCAUCAUCUUCAUCAUCACAGUCUUGCUGGCCAUUGCUGAAGGCGAAAACCUUCUUCGACUUGCAGAAAUUCAUCAAGAAAUACCAUCCAACAGCACCAACAGUCAUGAGCCCACU
rnacentral:lncRNA from 1 species